ensembl:lncRNA
CACAAUACCUGUAACGGUUCUCUUGUGGUGAAGGAGAGUCGGACCAAAAUGCAGCGUGUAGAUUGGCGUGACAAUACAGAUAUAGGUUAUCACAAUACACCCCUUGGAUGUAAAAAAAAAAAAAAGGAAAGAAAAACAAGAAAAAAAUAAGCUCCUCAUGUGGAGAACAUAAUGAACAUGAACGUAAGCAACUUCCCUGGCAUGGCACUGUGCUGUAUUUUGGGGCGCAGGUAGCCUAGUGGUUAGAGUGUUGGCCCAGUAACCAGCAGGUAGCCUAGUGGUUAGAGUGUUGGCCCAGUAACCAGCAGGUAGCCUAGUGGUUAGAGUGUUGG